GCCGGGCAUGGUGGCACUCACCUGUGAUCCCAGACAUUUAGGAGGCUGAGGAGGGAGGAUUGCUUGAGCCAGGAGUUCUGGGCUAUAGUGCACUAUGCAGAUCAGGUGUCCACAUUAAAUUCAACCUCGAUAUGGUGACCUCCAGGGAGCAAGGGAGCAGGGGACCAGGUUGUUUAGGGAAGGGGUGAACCGGCCUGGUUGGAAACAGAGCAGGUCAAAACUCUGGUGCUGAUAAGUAGUGGGAUUGUGUCUGUGGAUAGAUGCUGCACUCCGGCCUGGGCAACAUAGUGAGAUUCUGUCUCU
rnacentral:SRP_RNA from 1 species